rnacentral:lncRNA from 1 species
CACAAGGAUCUUUUGGGUCCAGCUUUUAAGAGUAUCACCUUAUUCCUUUAAAAUUAGUCAAUUAAUUUAAAUAAAACAAAAAUAAAUAAUAGAAAAUAUUUUCCAUUAAAGAACUUACCUUUGAGACUUCUGACGAAGGUUUUCCACAAUUUUAAAAAGUAGCCUUUUAAAAUGAAUUGACAUCCAGAUGACUGGGGUCAAACCCGCUAACUCUGUUGAAGAGGCCUCUCUUAACAAUGGAUCCCAUAGUUAUGAAACAUUAAUAGGUCCUGAUAUGGCCCUCAUUAGGGCACCAUGGUCACUCUAAUCUGGUGGGUCAUGCAUGAGAUCUCACUUCCUUUAGAGCAGGGAUAUAACCACUCCCCAUCUCUUUGUCCUUCCACGUACCUACACAUUUCACAGCCUUUCUGCAUAUUUGAUAAGAGACUUUCCUAACAUUGAUCAAUGGGUGAACUGCUAGGUGUAAGAUUUGUUUUACAGUAAGUUAUUUGGAUGAAUAUAAACAUUUUGACCAUCACUGACUCUAAAGAUAAUUUAAGAACUAACUCAGGGAAAUAAAGAUAGCACUAGGUUUUGCUGUGUACUCUUAGCACUCUAAGCUUCAGGGAACAGCAAUUAGAGAGCCUGCUUGACCUUAUCUAGACUGUCUUUGGUCUUGGGGUUAUUUUAACGUAUCAAUACACGUUUAAUUGCUAUGAAUAAGAAACUGAAACCAAACUAGUCAAAACCCAAGUUAAACCAGAAAGGAGAAUUUUAUCAAGCUUUAACCCCCAAAGUACUAUCAAACAUAUUGAGCUGACCAUUAACCCGUCGGGAACACUGAGUCCCAACUUGAACUUGGAAGUGACUCACUCUGUGAUCCCAGCUUGACUCCCUUAAACCCUCUGCUCCUUAGUUUCCACAUUUGUCUCCCUUUAACAGGUCCAGCUAUCAGCAGAACUCCCUGUCCAAGGAGGCUCAUAGCAGCUACGCAGACAACAGAGAAGGAAGCUGCUUGCUGUAGCUGGCACCUUAAGGACGACAGACAGCCGACAGGGCAACUCACCCUGAAGAUCUUCUCUCUGGUGGAGAAAGAGUACAGUGGCCAACACAAAGAUGCAAUCAAGGGAGGGAAGUAAAACCCAGACAUUUAAUAAACAGGAUAAUCAGGACA